rnacentral:rRNA from 1 species
GAUGAACGCUGGCGGCGUGCCUAAUACAUGCAAGUCGAGCGAACAGACGAGGAGCUUGCUCCUCUGACGUUAGCGGCGGACGGGUGAGUAACACGUGGAUAACCUACCUCUAAGACUGGGAUAACUUCGGGAAACCGGCGCUAAUCCCGGAUAACAUGUUGAACCGCAUGGUUCAACAGUGAAAGACGGUCUUGCUGUCACUUAUCGAUGGAUCCGCGCCGCAUUAGCUAGUUGGUAAGGUAACGGCUUACCAAGGCAACGAUGCGUAGCCGACCUGAGAGGGGGAUCGGCCACACGGGAACUGAGACACGGUCCAGACUCCUACGGGAGGCAGCAGUAGGGAAUCUUCCGCAAUGGGCGAAAGCCGGACGGAGCAACGCCGCGUGAGUGAAGAAGGUCUUCGGAUCGUAAAACUCUGUUAUUAGGGAAGAACAAAUGUGUAAGUAACUAUGCACGUCUUGACGGUACCUAAUCGGAAAGCCACGGCUAACUACGUG